AUGGGAGACCCACUACUUUUGCGGAGCCCAGAGCUGGGGAAAGUAGGCCAGGUUGGAGCAGUGAAGCAGAAGAAAUUCCUGAGCAUUAGCUGGGAUGAGCACAGAGACUGCCAGGAGGGACAGGCAUGCGGAGCCUGGAAACCCACUUCCUCAAAGGUCUUCCCUGCCGGUAGUUUUUUUUAUCUUCAGCCCUUAUCAGUUGAGGGGGUAAGGGUGUGGUUUUUCAAGGAACCAAGUCACCCCAGAACCACACUGCCAUUUCCCCUUUUGCUUUGGCUGCUAGAACACUCUUGGGAAUCGCUUGAUCCUGAAAGUCUUGUGAGAAGACAUGGUGAGGAGAGAACUCAACCGCACAUAGGAUGGCGGAGAAGAGAAAAGAGCUCUUUUAAAUUCAUGUUUUAUAAUGUUUGCUUUAACACCGAGCAGCCACUUCACUGCAUUUUGGUAAAUGGAGAAGAUGUUGAUCAUAAACAAAAACAUUUGGUCACAUGAAUGUGUUGGUUGACAGCCAAAGUCAAGUCAUAGAGAAAUGGGAAAGGGCACAGAAGUAGAGUGGGCCAAGGUGGGCAAGCUAGAUCAGGCAGGAGGGAGAGGAUGUCAAGACCAACUCAGCAAAUGUAACUGAUCACACAGGGAAGAGGUGCUGGGUUCUGGAGAUGCUGCACAUGGCAGGGAGGGCAGGGGCACUGGAGAGGGAGGAGCUGAGUGUGACGGAUGGAGUCACACACCCAGAGGAGGGCAGAGGGCUCAGGCAGUGGGAGCCACCUGUACACAGACCCGGAUGUGGUCAGGACACAGGAGGACAGGAAGAAGGCUCCAGUGUCUGGUGUAUUUAGAGCAGUGAGGACUGUGGGUGAACUGGGGCUAGGAGUGUGUCUUGCCACUCAGGAAGGUAUCUUUUAUCCUGAAACCUGAAGGCUUACGUUCUCAGGAGCAAUCCCAGGCCAGGCACUAUUUCCCACUCCUGGGUGUCCUUGGCUUUCGGCUGGGGGAGCAGGUGGGGACAGGAGAAAGGCAUCGAGCCAGGUGCCCUCAAAGCAGACCAGCUGCCCAGCCCCACUGAGUCAAGGGGAGAGCUCCCUAGAGACUGCCCAGCCAGUCAGAGCAAGGAUGGUGGGCUGGGAGCCCCCAAAGACCCCAUCUGAUUAGGGCUGGGGACCGUGGGAUGAGAUCCCACUCUGGAGUCAGACUCUAAGUGGAUUCUGUCCUUAGCUGAGAGCCUAGCCAAGGUUCCACACCUCUCUGAACCUCAUCUCUAAAACACCAGAAUUGAUGCUUUUGAACUGUGGUGUUGGAGAAGACUCUUGAGAGUCCCUUGGACUGCAAGGAGAUCCAACCAGUCCAUCCUAAAGGAGAUCAGUUCUGAAUAUUCAUUGGAAGGACUGAUGCUGAAGCUGAAACUCAAUACUUUGGCCACCUGAUGCAAAGAACUGACUCAUUGGAAAAGCCCCUGAUGCUGGAAAAGAUUGAAGGCAGGAGGAGAAGGGGACGACAGAGGAUGAGAUGGUUGGAUGUCAUCCCUGACUCAAUGGACAUGAGUUUGAGUUAGUUCCGGGAGUUGGUCAUGGACAGGGAGGCCUGGCGUGCUGCAGUUCAUGGGGUCACAGAGUCAGACACGACUGAGCGACCGAACUGAACUGAAAACACCAGAGAUGUUGCCUGUCCUGAAGGGCUGUUUUGAAGCUCAGGUGAGCCAACAAAAGCAAAAGACUUAAUGUAAAGUAGUUGUUUGAUCAAUGUUCACUUCCCCAAACCCAGGGUCCUAGGAAAGAGGCCUUUGAUGGAGUCAGCCUGUACCCUACACACCGUGCCCCAUCUCAGGUCUGACUGGGGCUCCCACAGCCUGUGUUAAAUGGCUAACGGAGCCCCUCCACUUUGUCCAGCCCAGCCUGUUUCCUGUGUUUCCUGUCUCCUCUGUCUGCUCCCAGCGCUGUAGCCCCAGAAACAGGGGCCAACCUGUAGCUGGUGCUCAAUAAACGUCCAUCAAGCUGUACGGAAGGCCUCUUC
ensembl:lncRNA